AUUGAACGCUGGCGGCAGGCCUAACACAUGCAAGUCGAACGAGUGGCGGACGGGUGAGUACUGUCUGGGAAACUGCCUGAUGGAGGGGGAUAACUACUGGAAACGGUAGCUACUACCGCAUACCAUCAGAUGUGCCCAGAUGGGAUUAGCUAGUUGGUGGGGUAACGGCUGACCAGGGCGACGAUCCCUAGCUGGUCUGAGAGGAUGACCAGCCACACUGGAACGGAGACACGGUCCAGACUCCUACGGGAGGCAGCAGUGGGGAAUAUGGCAAAAUGGGCGCAAGCCUGAUGCAGCCAUGCCGCGUGGAGGUGGAGGGCCUUCGGGUUGUAAAGUACUUUCAGCGGGGAGGCGUUACCCGCAUAAGAAGCACCGGCUAACUCCGUGCCAGCAGCCGCGGUAAUAC
rnacentral:rRNA from 1 species